rnacentral:tRNA from 1 species
GGGGCUGGGGCUCAGUGGUAGAGCACUUGCCUGGCAUGUGUGAGGCACUGAGUUCGAUCCUCAGCACCA